rnacentral:tRNA from 1 species
GACUCGGUAGUAAAAAGGCUAAGCGUUCGCCUGGAGGAUUAAAGUAUCUGGGUUUGAUUCCCAGCUGAGUCG